CCUACGGGAGGCUGCAGUGGGGAAUAUUGGACAAUGGGCGAAAGCCUGAUCCAGCCAUGCCGCGUGUGUGAAGAAGGCCUUCGGGUUGUAAAGCACUUUCAGUGGGGAAGAAAGCCUUGGGGCUAAUACCCUCGAGGAAGGACAUCACCCACAGAAGAAGCACCGGCUAACUCCGUGCCAGCAGCCGCAGUAAUACGGAGGGUGCGAGCGUUAAUCGGAAUUACUGGGCGUAAAGCGCGCGUAGGCGGUCUGAUAAGCCGGUUGUGAAAGCCCCGGGCUCAACCUGGGAACGGCAUCCGGAACUGUCAGGCUAGAGUGCAGGAGAGGAAGGUAGAAUUCCCGGUGUAGCGGUGAAAUGCGUAGAGAUCGGGAGGAAUACCAGUGGCGAAGGCGGCCUUCUGGACUGACACUGACGCUGAGGUGCGAAAGCGUGGGUAGCAAACAGGAUUAGAUACCCUGGUAGUC
rnacentral:rRNA from 1 species